UUGCCUUGAGUUUGAGGCCAGCCUGGGCUACAAGGCAAGUUCAAGGAUAGCUGGGGCUAUAAAGAAACCCG